UACGUAGGGGGCAAGCGUUGUCCGGAUUUACUGGGCGUAAAGAGCGUGUAGGCGGCCAAGCAGGUCCGUUGUGAAAACUGGAGGCUCAACUUCCAGACGUCGACGGAAACCGUGUGGCUAGAGUCCGGAAGAGGAGAGUGGAAUUCCUGGUGUAGCGGUGAAAUGCGCAGAUAUCAGGAAGAACACCAAUGGCGAAGGCAGCUCUCUGGGACGGUACUGACGCUGAGACGCGAAAGCGUGGGGAGCGAACAGG
rnacentral:rRNA from 1 species